rnacentral:lncRNA from 1 species
CAUAUCCGAUCUACAUAUUAGCAUCUUCCAUAAUCCUCAAUAGAAAAAUUUAGCUCAACUAUUUAUAACUCAAUUUAGUAUUUCCAAAAAAUAAUUCAUUUCUACAAGAAAGUAAAUGAAAACAGAGAAAAAUAGAACUAGUGAGAGAAAAUGAGCUGAUGUAGAUUAUUAAAAGCCCAAAAAAUCCUUGAUUCCUCUCCUUUUCUUUUUGUAGAAAACCUCCUCUUUUCUUCUACUAAAACCUGCUAUCAUUCCCUUUUCAGCCCUAAAAGAAGCCUAUUUAAGCCUCUCCAUGUAGCCCUCAGAUCUUUCAGAUCGGAGGGUGUAAAAAUCUCCUAAUCUUACGUGGCAGUGCUGCGGUGCCAUGGAUUCUGCCUGGAGUGCUUAUUGCCAGACCUGGACAACACUGCAGCGCUAGGAGCUUGGAGUUGCAGCGCCGUGCUUGCUGUUUCAUUCCUUGCUCCUUCAGCUUCAAUGCUUUCCCCUACUGCAGUUCAGUCACUUCCCGUGUGAUUUUGGUCAUGAUCUAAUCAAAACUAGUCGAAGUGAUCGACAUAAAAGUUGUAGGUCUUUUGCUUAGCUUUUCGAUGAUCCAAAAAUCACAACGAUCAGGCACCUGUAACUCGAGUUACGCUUAGAAAACCACAGCUUGUUCAUCACACAUAUGCAACAAUCCACCCUUUGCACAAUUCACUGCUACUUCAGCCCCUUUCAUUCAUGGACC